rnacentral:siRNA from 1 species
GAACGGUGCUACAAAGACUUUGUC